GCCACUGGACAGAGGCAUAACCUUGCGUGGCAGCUGCACGGGAAUUGGAUUUGGCUCAGGUGUUUCAGAUGACUAAGUUGGGAGCAUUUGACAAUUUUAGAUGUGGGAUGAAAAUUGCCUUAUCUAAGACAUAGGGCACCUGCAGAAGUAAAGAGAAACAGAACAAAGGGGACCACUCUUGGUAUAGAAGUUCAUCUCGUCGGGAGCAUCUGUGGUUCUUUUAUAAGCAAUGUACAUUCUACAAUAGAGGCAGACCCAGAAAUAAUUCAGAUAUUGGAGUUAGAAGAUCAGGAUUCUAAAAAAACCAAAAGAUCCUGCCUUACUAUGCACCUAUGGCCCUUCAAAGGCGAGAGUAGAAUCUGCUAUGAUUUAGAAGCAAGCAAUAAAAAGUACACAUCAGGCAAUGGAAAUAAUGAACAAAAUUCUCUCAAGCAAGAUUGGCCCUAUGAACAAGUGAAGAUGGUGGGCGAUUUCAGCUGCUUCAGAAUCACUCUACCUGUCUCAAGGACAAAGGGAAGAAACCCACAAUACUAGAUGUAUUAUAUAUUUUCUAGAGUCCAAAAGUGGUGUGGCUCAGUACAUAAUGUCUGUGGAUCUGAUACUUGAAACAACUUACAUCCCACGGCACUGUUGUUCACCUCAGUGGAUGCGGGACCUCUCACUGCUGGCCGGCCUCCUGAAUUGUUCUGUUUCCAGAGUGUCUUCUGCAAGGCCUUUCCCCACAGGUUGCUGGAGACUUUAUCACUGUUGCAGGAGGCCCAGCGGCUUCGCCCCAGAGGCCACCAGUGCCACCCAGGUAAGGCAGUGCUACUUCUGAAGUGCUGAACAUUGCUGCUUCCGCUGGGCAUUGCAGCUGCACCGCUGCGGCCGUCCAUCUGUACACAUCUGUCUGUCCAGCUGCGCCAUGGAGCCCAAGACGUCAUUCAAAGAUCGCAACACCAAGAGUGCUCUUCCUGGGAGCUGCUACUCCUCAGCCACUGCUCACCAUCCCUCUCCAUUUGAGCUUUCCGAGAAGUUUGAUGAGGCUAUGUGAAGCCAUGGAUGGUGGAGAGAGGUGGA